rnacentral:rRNA from 1 species
CGGCCGCGGUACCCUAACCGUGCUAAGGUAGCGCAAUCACCUGUCCCUUAAUUGAGGACUAGUAUGAAUGGCUAAAUGAGGGCACGACUGUCUCCUGUGCCUAAUCAAUGAACUUGAUCUUCCAGUACAAAAGCUGAAAUACUACCAUAAGACGAGAAGACCCUGUGGAGCUUCAAACCCACACAUUACCUAAACUAAAAACAAAAAACUAAACUAAUGUGCACUUUUAGUUGGGGCAACUGCGGAGCAAAGUAAAACCUCCAUGGCCCGCACCUGGUAAGUGCACGCCCACAGGCCACCAUGCCACAAACCUAACAAUUGACCCAGCAGCGCUGAUCAUCGAACCAAGUUACCCCAGGGAUAACAGCGCCAUCCCUCCUAAGAGUCCACAUUGCCGGAGGGGCUUACGACCUCGAUGUUGGAUCAGGACCCCCAGGCGGCGCAGCCACUGCCAAAGGUUCGUUCGUUCAACGAUUAAUGUCCU